CUGCUUGCGCAGUGGCAGUAUCGUAGCCAAUGAGGUUUAUCCGAGGCGCGAUUAUUGCUAAUUGAAAACUUUUCCCUCUGCUUGUGCAUGCUCGCUCUCUCUCUCUGUCAAAUAAAUGAGUAAAAUCUUAAAAAAACUAAACAUAUUUUAAAAUA
rnacentral:snRNA from 1 species